UACGAAGGGGGGCUAGCGUUGUUCGGAAUUACUGGGCGUAAAGCGUGCGCAGGCGGUUAUGCAAGACAGAUGUGAAAUCCCCGGGCUCAACCUGGGAACUGCAUUUGUGACUGCAUGGCUGGAGUGCGGCAGAGGGGGAUGGAAUUCCGCGUGUAGCAGUGAAAUGCGUAGAGAUGUGGAGGAACACCGAUGGCGAAGGCAGCCCCCUGGGUCAAGAUUGACGCUCAUGCACGAAAGCGUGGGGAGCAAACAGG
rnacentral:rRNA from 1 species